CAGCAGCCGCGGGAAUACGAACCGUGCGAACGUUAUUCGGAAUCACUGGGCUUAAAGCGCGUGUAGGCGGAUGGGAGCGUCGGCCUCUGAAAUCCCCCGGCUCAACCGGGGGAGUGAAGCCAAAACGACCCGUCUGGAGGGACGUAGGGGGACCUGGAACUUCCGGUGGAGCGGUGAAAUGCGUUGAGAUCGGAAGGAACGCCCGUGGCGAAAGCGAGGUCCUGGACGUCUGCUGACGCUGAGACGCGAAAGCCAGGGGAGCGAACGGGAUUAGAUACCCCCGUAGUCCCUGUCUCUUAUA
rnacentral:rRNA from 1 species